ACGAUGACUCUCGGCAAUGGAUAUCUCGGCUCCUGCAUCGAUGAAGAACGUAGCGAAAUGCGAUACCUGGUGUGAAUUGCAGAAUCCCGUGAACCAUCGAGUCUUUGAAUGCAAGUUGCGCCCGAGGCCACCCGGUCGAGGGCACGCCUGCCUGGGCGUCACGC
rnacentral:rRNA from 1 species